CGGAUAAAACUCGCAAUCUCCUCCGAUGAGCUCCUUCUCGUUUUCUGUUUCGUGCGAUUUUUCUACCAUUGUGUUCACCAUUCUAUUUUCUAAAGGUUGAAUGAAGAAAAAUACCCAACUGCGAAGGUUAGCCGGCGAAGCCGCUGCACUGGAAAAUCCCACCACCGGUAGGUUUCUAUUUUUUAAUUUUUUUCAGCCAACCAAAAUCCCUUGAUGUGUUUUCUCAAAGGGAUGGGCAUAAAAGUGGCUGAAACAAAACUGGUCAAAAAGGGCCAAGCU
rnacentral:lncRNA from 1 species